rnacentral:rRNA from 1 species
ACGGAAGGCAGCAGCUAAGAAUAUUCCGCAAUGGACGAAAGUCUGACGGAGCGACGCCGCGUGGAUGAUGAAGGCCGGAAGGUUGUAAAAUCCUUUUAUAACUGAGGAAUAAGUAUUAUCAGAGAAAGGUAGUAUGGUGACUGUAGGUUAUGAAUAAGCAACGGCUAAUUACGUGCCAGCAGCCGCGGUAACACGUAAGUUGCGAGCGUUGUUCGGAAUUAUUGGGCGUAAAGGGCAUGUAGGCGGUUUUGCAAGCUUGGUGUGAAAUCCCGGAGCUCAACUCCGGAAUUGCGUUGAGAACUGCAUAACUAGAGUCACUGAGGGGCAAUCAGAAUUCCAGGUGUAGGGGUGAAAUCUGUAGAUAUCUGGAAGAACACCAAUGGCGAAGGCAGGCUUCUAUCACAUGACUGACGCUGAGGUGCGAAGGUGCGGGGAUCAAACAGGAUUAGAUACCCUGGUA